GAUGAACGCUGGCGGCGUGCCUAAUACAUGCAAGUCGAGCGAACGGACGAGAAGCUUGCUUCUCUGAUGUUAGCGGCGGACGGGUGAGUAACACGUGGAUAACCUACCUAUAAGACUGGGAUAACUUCGGGAAACCGGAGCUAAUACCGGAUAAUAUUUUGAACCGCAUGGUUCAAAAGUGAAAGACGGUCUUGCUGUCACUUAUAGAUGGAUCCGCGCUGCAUUAGCUUGUUGGUAAGGUAACGGCUUACCAAGGCAACGAUGCAUAGCCGACCUGAGAGGGUGAUCGGCCACACUGGAACUGAGACACGGUCCAGACUCCUACGGGAGGCAGCAGUAGGGAAUCUUCCGCAAUGGGCGAAAGCCUGACGGAGCAACGCCGCGUGAGUGAUGAAGGUCUUCGGAUCGUAAAACUCUGUUAUUAGGGAAGAACAUAUGUGUAAGUAACUGUGCACAUCUUGACGGUACCUAAUCAGAAAGCCACGGCUAACUACGUG
rnacentral:rRNA from 1 species